CCCAUUGGCUGCCCCAGAGACUGCCUUCGUCUAAGGGGAGCCUUUUCUGAGCCGGGGGCGGAGCUGGGAGGAAGACAGACACCCAUUUAAAGCAGGUCGAGGGCCAACUUGGCUCCUCCAGAUGUUUUGGACUCCAACUCCCACCACUCCUCACAGCCUCAGGCUCUUUCUUUUGAGUCCACAGCGCUCUCUGCAUGGAGGUCGGUGGUUCGGAUCCGGGGAGCAGGGUGAACUCCCACUGUUAGCCCCAGCUUCUGCCAACCUAGCAGUUCGAAAACAUGCAAAGGUGAGUAGAUGAAUAGGUACUGCGGGAAGGUAACGGCGCUCCAUGCAGUCAUGCCAGUGGCCACAUGACCUUGGAGGUGUCUACGGACAACGCCGGCUCUUCAUCUUAGAAAUGGAGAUGAGCACCAAUCCGCAGAGUCGGACACGACUGGACUUAACGUCAGGCGAAAACCUUUAGAAAGUGAAAAUCAUUAGGAGACACAGCACAUAAAUAUACUCCUUGGAGAGAAGGCCUUUGAGAGCAUGUAUUAGUCAAAACGUAUUGGGAGUUUUAUGGAAUGGUAGGAUUUUUUUUUUUUUGGUCAAUGUUUAAAUAUUAUAAUUGGUGCUUGUCUUUGUUUAUUGAUGUAUUUUAUAUUGUUACUAUUUUGUAUUUGAUAUUUCUGUGACCCACCCCGGGUCCCCUUCAGGGGAGAUGGAGGCGGGAUACAAAUAAAAUUAUUAUUAUUAUUAUUA